rnacentral:rRNA from 1 species
AACGCUAGCUACAGGCUUAACACAUGCAAGUCGAGGGGCAGCAUGAACUUAGCUUGCUAAGUUUGAUGGCGACCGGCGCACGGGUGAGUAACGCGUAUCCAACCUUCCGUACACUCAGGGAUAGCCUUUCGAAAGAAAGAUUAAUACCUGAUGGUAUGAUGAGAUUGCAUGGUAACAUCAUUAAAGAUUUAUCGGUGUACGAUGGGGAUGCGUUCCAUUAGAUAGUAGGCGGGGUAACGGCCCACCUAGCCGACGAUGGAUAGGGGUUCUGAGAGGAAGGUCCCCCACAUUGGAACUGAGACACGGUCCAAACUCCUACGGGAGGCAGCAGUGAGGAAUAUUGGUCAAUGGGCGCGAGCCUGAACCAGCCAAGUAGCGUGAAGGAUGAAGGUCCUAUGGAUUGUAAACUUCUUUUAUACGGGAAUAAAGUGGUCCACGUGUGGACUUUUGCAUGUACCGUAUGAAUAAGCAUCGGCUAACUCCGUGCCAGCAGCCGCGGUAAUACGGAGGAUGCGAGCGUUAUCCGGAUUUAUUGGGUUUAAAGGGAGCGCAGACGGGGGAUUAAGUCAGUUGUGAAAGUUUGCGGCUCAACCGUAAAAUUGCAGUUGAUACUGGUUCCCUUGAGUGCAGUUGAGGCAGGCGGAAUUCGUGGUGUAGCGGUGAAAUGCAUAGAUAUCACGAAGAACUCCGAUUG